GAUAAGAUUUUUGUCAAAUCGCAGUUUUUCACCAAAUUUACCAUUAUUUAUUCGCUCUUUACGAUUCAUUUAAUGUUUGUUUGUUUGUAUAUAACCUGUGGAUGUGCGCAUAACUUGUGGAUUGUGUACCUAAUUAACAGUUCCUAUAUAUGGAAAUGGAAACCUUUUUGGACCAAUGUGGCGUGGGUCAUUUGUGGCCUAUAUUUCAGGAGCAUCAUAUAGACGACCUCGAUGUCCUACAGAGCAUUAGUGUGGCAUUUUGAAUCCUAAUUUUUUGUUAGACUUGUAACAUAGAGUAAUUAGUUAUAGGAGUCGAUAAAAGUGUCGACUCCUUGUUAUUAUAUUUUUCUAUAUUAUAAAGAUUAAAAAUGUUUAUGUUUUAUUUUCUUAUGGUUUUGGAAUCUUGCAAAUGUAAUGUUAACUGGACUAUUUUGCAGUUUAAAAAUAUUUCAUUUUAAUAAUAAAGAAGUAUUAUUAACAUUA